ACUCAGGAGAAUAGACGUUUUUUAAACCAUUACAACACUGUGCUUUAGGGCGGGGCAGUAUACUGUCAGUAUACUGUCGGUAUACUGCUCUUUGUUGCAGGUGCAUGGUAAUAGUUGAAUAAAAUAAGAAACCCGCACACCGCUCUUUGUUGCAGGUGCAUGGUAAUAGUUGAAUAAAAUAAGAAACCCGCACACCGCUCUUGAUAGUGUCACCGCUCUUUAAUAAGCUUAAGUAUCGGACACACUGCCUUAGCACCAUUGUGUAGACAUAGCUCCACCCACAUCCGUUCCGCGCAUGGAAUGGGGUUGGAGUCAAGAGAACCAAUAAGUGCUACCAAAUAUAACAAUGUGCAUUUCAUAAAUAUUUGAAAUAGUGUGUACAUUUAAACGUAUUAAACACAAUGAGGACAUCGAGCUUCCAAGCAAGUUUUCAUAAAUCAUCAGGUACAGCGCAAGAAAAACGUCUGAGUAAACUGAAAGGGGGGCAUAAUUCAUGUUCACAUUUUACAACAUAACAUACAUAGGCAUUUCAUCAUUAAGACCUCUAGGAAAUAAUGUCUGGAGGGUGAAAAUCCGAAAA